CACCUCUCAGGGUGGCACCUGGAGAGUUUCCAGUACUCUACCAGUCUUGACUAUGGGAGGGAGAGUCCAGCAGAAGCCAACCUAUUCCGUUCCUAGCUUGGGCAGUGGCUAACAAGUGGAAGGCAAUCUGCUACAAGU